GGCUGCUGUUUGCUGGUCGUAGUGGUUGAGCAGGUUGGGCAUGAAGGUGGGGUUGGAAAUACAAAUAAAUCAAUACAAAUAAAUACAGAUUGAUGAAGAAAUGAUAAAUUUUACCUCCAUGGCCAUGGCUGCUGUUUGCUGGUCGUAGUGGUUGAGCAGGUUGGGCAUGAAGGUGCUGUUGUAGGGCAGGUCCUGGCACAUCCUGAGCACGAUGGGCUCGCAGGAGAAGAGGCUGUGCCCCGCUGCGGGGCCCCCCCAGA